rnacentral:rRNA from 1 species
UACGUAGGGUGCAAGCGUUGUCCGGAAUUAUUGGGCGUAAAGAGCUCGUAGGCGGUUCGUCGCGUCGGCUGUGAAAACCCGGAGCUCAACUCCGGGCCUGCAGUCGAUACGGGCGGACUUGAGUGUUGCAGGGGAGACUGGAAUUCCUGGUGUAGCGGUGAAAUGCGCAGAUAUCAGGAGGAACACCGGUGGCGAAGGCGGUUCUCUGGGACGGUACUGACGCUGAGACGCGAAAGCGUGGGGAGCAAACAGG